UGGGGAAUUGUUCGCAAUGGGCGCAAGCCUGACGACGCAACGCCGCGUGGAGGAUGAAGGUCUUCGGAUUGUACACUCCUGUUGACCGGGAAGAACAGGUUUCAACCUAAUACGUUGGAGCACUGACGGUACCGGUUGAGGAAGCCACGGCUAACUCUGUGCCAGCAGCCGCGGUAAUACAGAGGUGGCAAGCGUUGUUCGGAAUUACUGGGCGUAAAGGGCGCGUAGGCGGCCUUCUAAGUCAGACGUGAAAUCCCCAGGCUUAACUUGGGAACUGCGUCUGAUACUGGGAGGCUUGAGUGCGGGAGAGGGAUGUGGAAUUCCAGGUGUAGCGGUGAAAUGCGUAGAUAUCUGGAGGAACACCGGUGGCGAAGGCGGCAUCCUGGACCGACACUGACGCUGAGGCGCGAAAGCCAGGGGAGCAAA
rnacentral:rRNA from 1 species